GUUUAGCUGUUGAACAUGGCUGGCAUCGCCCGGCCAGGGGGCGGAUGGCGCUUGGAGGGGAACCAACAAGAGAGCAUGAAGAUUAUGCGAUCGUCUCCAUCAACCCGAUGCCACAGGAGGUUGGUGCACUCAGACCCACGCUCAACGUGGUGUGUAACUUUUUGGAACAAGAGCACAGAGUUCGUGUUAUUGCUCCCAUCUUUCCCCUCUCGGUUUGGGUCUGAUUAGACUGAGAACUGUGGCUCAAAGAGAUCAACUGGUCAGAGAUUCCCCGUUGCAUCUAGGUCAAAAUCAUGUGGUUACAGUGGUUAAGCAUGACGAGGGUUUCAAUGCUAGAUCCUGCAAUUACGCUAGAGUUUGCUGGUUGAUGUUCUUGGCUUUCCCCUUAGAUUUUCAGAAAGAUCUCUUCAUAAGGGCUGCAGUGGCUCCCUAUGGUCGACUGUUGGAAUGGUACAGAGAUGAAAAUAAAUCAAGAAUUUUAGUGCAAGUUCUGCUACUGAGUCCAAAUAGAGUGCCGAGGAGCUUGAUUGUUUCAAGGGGAACCAUGUUAGGUGGUGUAGGGCGUUCUUGGGCAGUACCUGUAUACAUUCUGAAUGGAAAUUUCCCAGAUGCCUUUCCUGCUGAGGAGGAUCCUGUUCCUUUCGACGGUGAGGCCCAUCCAGAGCACCCUCCAGUUGUUCUUGGCCCCAAUGUGCAAGAACCCAACUGGAAAAAUGAACAUAAUGGUGCAGCCCCAGACAUCGAUGUCUUUGGUGGUAAUCCACACCCCCAACCACUUCCAAUUCAGGAAAAUGAGGCAAAUGUCAAUGCUCAAGGUGCCAAUUUCCCCAACCAGCCUGCUGCUGUCAAUGAACAGGAACCCGAUGAUAUCCAUGAUGACCAAGACGCAACUUGUCGUCAUCUCUCAUUCUCUCUUCAUUUUACUACUGCGUCUGUGUUUCCCUGAAUUUCCGUGUGUAGGAACCACCGGAGCCGAACUUCUUGCCGAUGCAGCAGCUGGUCACUUGGUUUGGUCCGCCAUCACCACGCAAUAUUCCUGAUCCAUCAGUUCGGGUGGACCACCAGCAGCGAUCAGGAGAGUGGCAAACAGAAUCUGUCGCGCGCACCACCACCCAAACGCCGGACCCGCCGCCCGGGAGAUACGUGUGCGAGCCUGAGCCCGCGACGUGGACGCGCCGGGAAAUCCCUCCACACGGAUCUCUUCCCGUCCACCAGCCCGGCCGCUGCCACUUCAGCCGAGGACGGCACAGCCAGAGAGAUUCCCGUGGCCGUCUCCGGCCGGUGUCCACUUGUACAGCUGCAUCCCGCGCGCUCCCGGCCGAGAGGAGCUAGCUCGCCCAGUCGUUGCCGCCGGCGUCGUCGCGUCGCGUCCAUGGAAAUGGCGGUGGAGUGCUCCCUCGCCGCCACACUCGCCCCGCGCCCGCUGCCCGGCCGGGUCCGGAAGGCCCCGCCGCGGCCGGCCGUUCUUGCGGGGAGGGCGAGGCUCCGGGUGCGGUCGACGGCGAGGCGAGAGCACCCUCCGCCGCCGGCGCCGGCGGCACUCCGGGGCGCUUCUGGGACGGGGCACGGCUGCCGGGCAGUGGGGCAGGCGGCGGCGGGGCUCGCUGCCGCGGCCGUGGUGUCGCUGACCGGGUUCGCCGGUGACGUGCCCACGCUGCUGCCGCCGACGCCGCCGGCUCGGGCCGAGUCGCUCACCGUCGCGUUCCCCGUCGCAAAGGCGCGCGAGGUGAACCGGGUGCAGAGGACGCUGGUGGAGGCGUGGGGUCUGAUCCGUGAGACCUUCGUUGAUCCCACCUUCAACCAUCAAGAUUGGGAUCAGAAACUGCAGCAAACCAUGGUAGAAAUGUUUCCACUGGAAUCGGCUGACGCGGCCUACAGUAAAAUCAGUGGGAUGCUUUCCACGCUUGGCGACCCAUUUACAAGAAUCAUCAGUCCGAUGGAGUAUCAGAGUUUCAGGAUAGGAAGCGAUGGAAAUGUGCAAGGGGUUGGGGUGUUCAUAAACAGGGAGCCAAGCUCUGGACGCUUGCUUGUUAUGGACUGCAUUCAGGGAGGGCCAGCAGAUCGAGCAGGCAUACAUGAAGGUGAUGAGCUAGUUGAGAUAGAUGGGAAGAGUGUUUCUGGAUUGGAUGGAGAGGCUGCAGCUCAGAGGCUUAGAGGCCGUGUAGGAACAACAGUGAAAGUGAAACUAUUAGAUGGAACUGAAAAUGAUAGGGGUGGCAGGAGUAGGCAAAAAGAGGUCCAGCUGUCUCGUGAAAUCAUCAACCUUUCACCUCUAUCAACUACAAUUAUCUCUCAUAGGUCGGACGAUGGCCAUGAGUGCAAGACUGGAUAUGUUAGACUAGCUGCCUUUUCUCAGACUGCUGCAGCUGAAAUGGAAAAUGCCGUGAAAAGGAUGGAGGAUGAGGGCGUCGAGUCAUAUAUUCUAGACCUGCGGAGUAACCCAGGUGGAUUAGUAAAAGCUGGUCUCGAUGUGGCUCAAAUUUGGUUGGAUGGAGAUGAAACUCUCGUCAACACUAUUGAUCGCGAGGGAAAUGUGCUACCAAUAAAUAUGGUCCAAGGGCAUUCAUUAACACAUGACCCUCUUGUAGUGCUUGUUAAUUAAGGAAGUGCAAGUGCAAGUGAAAUCUUGGCAGGAGCAUUACAUGACAAUGGGCGAGCUAUUCUGGUGGGCCACAGAACCUUUGGUAAAGGAAAAAUUCAGAGUGUCACUGAGUUGGAUGAUGGCUCUGCUCUGUUUAUCACGGUUGCGAAGUAUCUCUCUCCAGCGUUGCAUGAAAUCGAUCAAGUAGGAAUCCAGCCUGACAUACAAUGCAGCCCUGAUAUACUAUCCUUGCCGAGAGCACCUACACUAAGAGAAAACAGCGAAGCGACAAGAUUGGAGAUGGAUUCAUGUAUCAUGGUGGCAGAGCAUGCAUUGGAAAUUGAGCAAAUGAAAGGUUCUGCUUCGUAGAUGUUCAGCUUAUAGGCUCUGUAUAUUCUUGUAUUCUACUGUAGAUUGUAUAGCUGAUAGUAUAGACUGAUGAAGUGCUGUAACGAUAUGUGUAUAGGCUGACUGAUCCUCACAUGUUUGAUUUUAGGCAUCAUCAAUUAGGCGGUUUAUGGGAAUGUACAUGAGUUGACCUUGUCAUAUGCCUGUGUUGCAUUGAUUCUCAACAUGUAUCAUCAGAAAUUCAGAAUUAUAGCAUGUAAAUUUUGUAAUUGGGUC